GGUCGCCUGACGAAAUGGCAUGGCGUCUGACUACUAACAUGUAAUCAUCGAUCAGGAGAUUGCAGGUUCGACCCCUGCGGGAGUCU